AGGAAUAUUGGUCAAUGGGCGCAGGCCUGAACCAGCCAAGUAGCGUGAAGGAUGACUGCCCUAUGGGUUGUAAACUUCUUUUAUAAAGGAAUAAAGUCGGGUAUGUAUACCCGUUUGCAUGUACUUUAUGAAUAAGGAUCGGCUAACUCCGUGCCAGCAGCCGCGGUAAUACGGAGGAUCCGAGCGUUAUCCGGAUUUAUUGGGUUUAAAGGGAGCGUAGAUGGAUGUUUAAGUCAGUUGUGAAAGUUUGCGGCUCAACCGUAAAAUUGCCGUUGAAACUGGGUUACUUGAGUGUGUUUGAGGUAGGCGGAAUGCGUGGUGUAGCGGUGAAAUGCAUAGAUAUCACGCAGAACUCCGAUUGCGAAGGCAGCUUACUAAACCAUAACUGACACUGAAGCACGAAAGCGUGGGGAUCAAACAGGAUUAGAUACCCUGGUAGUCCACGCAGUAAACGAUGAUUACUAGGAGUUUGCGAUACAAUGUAAGCUCUACAGCGAAAGCGUUAAGUAAUCCACCUGGGGAGUACGCCGGCAACGGUGAAACUCAAAGGAAUUGACGGGGGCCCGCACAAGCGGAGGAACAUGUGGUUUAAUUCGAUGAUACGCGAGGAACCUUACCCGGGUUUGAACGUAGUCUGACCGGAGUGGAAACACUCUUUCUAGCAAUAGCAGAUUACGAGGUGCUGCAUGGUUGUCGUCAGCUCGUGCCGUGAGGUGUCGGCUUAAGUGCCAUAACGAGCGCAACCCUUAUCACUAGUUACUAACAGGUGAAGCUGAGGACUCUGGUGAGACUGCCAGCGUAAGCUGUGAGGAAGGUGGGGAUGACGUCAAAUCAGCACGGCCCUUACAUCCGGGGCGACACACGUGUUACAAUGGCAUGGACAAAGGGCAGCUACCUGGUGACAGGAUGCUAAUCUCCAAACCAUGUCUCAGUUCGGAUCGGAGUCUGCAACUCGACUCCGUGAAGCUGGAUUCGCUAGUAAUCGCGCAUCAGCCAUGGCGCGGUGAAUACGUUCCCG
rnacentral:rRNA from 1 species